CGCGGGGUGGAGCAGUGGUAGCUCGUUGGGCUCAUAACCCAAAGGUCGUAGGUUCAAAUCCUACCCCCGCAACCA
rnacentral:tRNA from 1 species